AGAUUGGCAUGGGUGAGAGCCUGAUCAGCCUCCCGCGUGAAGGAUGACGGUCCUAUGGAUUGUAAACUUCUUUUGUACAGGGAUAAACCUACUCUCGUGAGGGUAGCUGAAGGUACUGUACGAAUAAGCACCGGCUAACUCCGUGCCAGCAGCCGCGGUAAUACGGAGGGUGCAAGCGUUAUCCGGAUUUAUUGGGUUUAAAGGGUCCGUAGGCGGACUUGUAAGUCAGUGGUGAAAUCUCAUAGCUUAACUAUGAAACUGCCAUUGAUACUGCAGGUCUUGAGUAAAUUUGAAGUGGCUGGAAUAAGUAGUGUAGCGGUGAAAUGCAUAGAUAUUACUUAGAACACCAAUUGCGAAGGCAGGUCACUAAGAUUUAACUGACGCUGAUGGACGAAAGCGUGGGGAGCGA
rnacentral:rRNA from 1 species